GAUCAUUACCGAGUUUACACUCCCAAACCCCUGUGAACAUACCAAUUGUUGCCUCGGCGGAUCAGCCCGCUCCCGGUAAAACGGGACGGCCCGCCAGAGGACCCCUAAACUCUGUUUCUAUAUGUAACUUCUGAGUAAAACCAUAAAUAAAUCAAAACUUUCAACAACGGAUCUCUUGGUUCUGGCAUCGAUGAAGAACGCAGCAAAAUGCGAUAAGUAAUGUGAAUUGCAGAAUUCAGUGAAUCAUCGAAUCUUUGAACGCACAUUGCGCCCGCCAGUAUUCUGGCGGGCAUGCCUGUUCGAGCGUCAUUUCAACCCUCAAGCCCAGCUUGGUGUUGGGACUCGCGAGUCAAAUCGCGUUCCCCAAAUUGAUUGGCGGUCACGUCGAGCUUCCAUAGCGUAGUAGUAAAACCCUCGUUACUGGUAAUCGUCGCGGCCACGCCGUUAAACCCCAACUUCUGAAUGUUGACCUCGGAUCAGGUAGGAAUACCCGCUGAACCUAAGCAUAUCA
rnacentral:misc_RNA from 1 species